GAUGAAGAACGCAGCGAAAUGCGAUACGUAAUGUGAAUUGCAGAAUUCAGUGAAUCAUCGAAUCUUUGAACGCAUAUUGCGCUCUCUGGUAUUCCGGAGAGCAUGCUUGUUUGAGUAUCAGUAAACACCUCAACUUCCAUAUCUUUUUUGAAAUGGGAGUUGGACUUGAGUGAUCCCAACGCUUUUCCUCACCGAAAAGUGGCGGGUUACUUGAAAUGCAGGUGCAGCUGGACUUUUCUCUGAGCUAUAAGCAUAUCUAUUUAGUCUGCCUAAAAAACAGAUUAUUACCUUUGCUGCAGCUAACAUAAAGGAGAUUAGUUCUUGUGCUGACUGAUGCAGGAUUCACAAAGACGGCUUCGGCCGACUUUGUAAAUUCGAUCUCAAAUCAAGUAAGACUACCCGCUGAACUUAAGCAUAUCAAUAAGCGGAGGA
rnacentral:misc_RNA from 1 species